GUAAGGAAUAUUGGACAAUGGACGCAAGUCUGAUCCAGCCAUGCCGCGUGAAGGAUUAAGGUCCUCUGGAUUGUAAACUUCUUUUAUAAGGGACGAAAAAAGGCUUUUCUAAGUCGUCUGACGGUACCUUAUGAAUAAGCACCGGCUAACUCAGUGCCAGCAGCCGCGGUAAUACGGAGGGUGCAAGCGUUAUCCGGAUUCACUGGGUUUAAAGGGUGCGUAGGCGGGAAGGUAAGUCAGUGGUGAAAUCCUAGAGCUUAACUGUAGAACUGCCAUUGAUACUAUCUGUCUUGAAUAUUGUGGAGGUAAGCGGAAUAUGUCAUGUAGCGGUGAAAUGCUUAGAUAUGACAUAGAACACCUAUUGCGAAGGCAGCUUACUACGCAUAUAUUGACGCUGAGGCACGAAAGCGUGGGGAUCAAACAGGAUUAGAUACCCCAGUAGUCC
rnacentral:rRNA from 1 species